UUUGGUUAGAGUUGAUAGAUUCAGGACAAAGACAGAAUUAAUUGGUGAAGCAAUAUCCCAGAGGAUGGAAGAUAAAAGUUAAGUCCACAUGAAAAAGUUGGCCUUGAACAGGAAAAGGAACACCUUAUCCUCUGAGAAUGAAGAGAAUGAGGAAAGGACUGAUGCAGAUGUAGAUAAAUUUGUGGACAUGGGUAGGGCAGGAGGCUGAAGUCGCUCAAGCCUAACUGCAUGACUGUCGCAAGUCCUAGCCAAUGCCUGCCAGGGGCACACGCAGUAUGCAGCUUCCCCAUUUCCAAGAACCGAAAGAAUGUGGACUAAGAUGAUGACAGCUCCAGGAACCAGCCCAGACGGAGCCACUGGAGAGCUUCCCCAUAAGCCUGCAUGAACUCUCUAAAAUAGAGAUCUGCUGUGCUUAAGAUCCUUCAAUGGUUUCUCCCAAGAUAUUGGGAUCUCUGAAGACAAGGACUGUGUCCCCAGAAACUCAUCGACUCUCUGGUGUCUCUGGGUCUACGCACAUGAUGUCUCCAAGGCCAGGUCAGGGUUUUAUUAAAUUUUGUAGAACCACUUGUACACUGAACAGAACAGAGUUCAGCACUUCUGAUAAAGUUUGAGUGAGAUACAAUAUUCCUUUUGUCAUUUGUUAAUAUUCAUUGCAGCUCUGGAACAUCUUUUCUACAAUGCCUGACAACACUGAGUCAGAGUUUUAAUUUUCUGUUUCAGGACACGUAUUCAUUGGCUUGGUGUUUUACGUAUGUUUUAGGAAAGGAUUAUUUGAUAAUCUACAGUCCUGAAGAUUUUAACUAACCUCUGUGGGACUAUGAUAUUCUCGGGUGAAAAGGGUACAAGUAGAUGAGCGAUUUCAUUUUCAGUUUAUUCUCUUAAAUAGCAGUCAGAGUAAGAAAGGCUACAACUGGAGACACAGGAUGGCUCAAUGGUUAAGAGCAGGCACUCGAGAAAGACUACAUCUGACCUGCACAUAGGUGAAGACUCCAAGUCGGCUUCCCCUAGGAUGACCCCUUUAACUCAACUCUUUUCUACACACCUACAAAGUCUCUCUGUAAGCAUGUAAUCUAAUGACCAAAAAGAAUGACCAAAAAGAAAAUCUGCCUAAUGACCAAGAAAGAAAAGCAGGACAUAGGUACUAGUUACUAUUUAACCAAGACUGUAAAAGAUCCCAAGAUUCAGGGUUACCAGAAAAAUUGUGUAACUAGGGGAAUGUGAAACACAGUCUAGGGAGAGGAAACCUAGCUACUGGAAGGCUGGUAUUCAAUUAUUUGGAAACUGGCGUCUAUUCCAAGAAGCACCGUGAAUGGGCUUCCGGGCACCAAGAGCGGGCUGUUCUAGGAGGAAAGGGGCCGGCCCUACCUGUGCUCUGCCCUUGGGCUGCAAAUGGAUUCUGGCCGGAGCUUAGCCAGGUUGUAUUUCCGGCUCAGAGAGGGUCUGGGUGGGACGUCAAGGGAAUCAUUCCAUGUUUAGGAUAAUGGAACGUGUUGAGUUGGUAUGCAAGGUUUUGUCUUCAAUCCCAGAUAUCCAAAAAGCUCUUUGAAACACAGGAAAGAUUGGCCCUAUUUCUCUUUAGGUAUCAUUAUUUAUCUAAAUCUCCGGAGCCAUUGAGGACCAAGAUCAUACUUGCUGAAUAAAUGCACGGAGCAGGAUCAGAGGAUAGACACAGAAUGGGCCAAGAAGAGAAAUAUUAUUCCUCAUAAGAGCUUGCUUGAUUGCAACCACCAAGGACAUCCACAAACCAGGGCAAGAAGGACCAUCCGUAAUUCUUUCCCAUAAAUAGUGACAGGAAGAAAAUAAACGCCCUAUUCUUCAAUGAUUUGAACCACCUCUGGAGCACAAACUUUCUCUAAAUUCACAGGGCAAAUAUCCAUCAUGGGGCAGGUAUCUAUGCUGCCAUGGAAAGUAACAUAAAAUGUACUAAGUCAUCACAGGGAGUUUUAAUUUUGUUUUUAAGGUCAAUUGCCAUGCUGGGGUAAAAAGCAUUGAUCCUUGCCUUUUAUCACCGGAAAAAUUCUUCACCAGUACUUUGUGAAAAUCUCGCCUCAUCAGGGCUGCCAAGGUCAAUGCAACCUAAGUAACCAAGCUGGGAGAUGCUUGCCUAAUUAUUAAAUAUUUAGCAAACAGUUUGUGACUAUUUAACUGUUUGCACCUGGCACCCUCUUUUCACUACGUGAGGCCUCCUGGCACCCUGACCUCUUCCCCCACCCCUACCCACUGCCCAGGCCGCCAGCACCCCUGGGGGGCAAAUACCGGGACCCAAGGGCAUUUCAAAGAAACAGCAGAGGUCACAUUCCAUUUCCUUUUUAUUAAAAAACAUACUUAAAAUGGGGGAGGAGGGCACAGAUCUAAGGUAAAAUCUCUUGCAGUUUUUUCAAGUUCGCAUGCACCGUUGAAAGUUCAUUAGUUAGGGAUUUAAAAGCAAAAAUGUUUCACACAACCAAUUAAACGCCAAGCUUUACAAACGCCUUGGUCUUUGGUUUUGGGAAUCUGUAAAAGUCCGCCUCCCCCCACCCGAGUUUUGCCCCUUUUAGAGCCCCUUUGUUGAAUUACGUGACUUUUCCCGAAGUCAUCAAACUUUGAAUUGCGUCUCUAAUUUUUUUUUUCAGGGCAAAAGCAAAUCAAGAAAUUAAACUUAAAAGUAGGCGACUCGGAGAGAAGUGGGGGAAAGCUCGCCCCAAAGCCAAGUUCCGCAGGACUAAAGCCCUCUUUGCGCGCGCGGGGCGGGG
rnacentral:lncRNA from 1 species